rnacentral:rRNA from 1 species
CAGCAGCCGCGGUAAUACGUAGGUGGCAAGCGUUGUCCGGAAUUAUUGGGCGUAAAGGGCUCGCAGGCGGUUUCUUAAGUCUGAUGUGAAAGCCCCCGGCUCAACCGGGGAGGGUCAUUGGAAACUGGGAAACUUGAGUGCAGAAGAGGAGAGUGGAAUUCCACGUGCAGCGGUGAAAUGCGUAGAGAUGUGGAGGAACACCAGUGGCGAAGGCGACUCUCUGGUCUGUAACUGACGCUGAGGAGCGAAAGCGUGGGGAGCGAACAGGAUUAGAUACCCCGGUAGUCCCUGUCUCUUAUAC